rnacentral:lncRNA from 1 species
UGCAUUCAUGGAGGUGUAUAGCACAGUAAGGAGUAUCAACAAAAAAUCAGUUUAGUUCAUCUAGUCCAUAUCAUAGAUAUUACAUUCAUCUGAUGAGGAUAGGUAAACUGAAUCAUCUUACAGAAAAUGUAUGCUAAGACAUUAUUUGCGUCCCAGUUUCUGUUCCCUACAAUUUUUUGCAAUUAAAUGUAGGUACAGUAUACAAAUAGGAAUAUGACUGGGUGGUAUCAAUUACAGAUAUUGCAAUGUACAGUACGGAAUGAUUUAGUAAGUAUCACGGAUAUUUUCUGACAAAAAACUUAGCAAUUAAAUUGCACACAUAAGGCUAAGAGACACACUUGAAACUAAAUUAUAUGUACAAAAAAAUCAAAGAUCAUAGACAAUGGAAACACACUCAAUUUGAUUUCUCACCCCACGCAUUAACACAAACAAUUAACAUGCAGGCGGUGCACAGAAGAGGAAGGAAGAGGAUCUGGAGUAGUUCACCAGGCAAAUUUGUGGCCGACGUCGGCGCGGAGGCCAAUCUCCGCUGUGCCAAAUCCAUCCUGCUGCUGCUGCAGAAGGAGAAGAGAUCAUCCAUGAACAAUAGGUUAAGCCUAAAAGUAGCAGAUUCCUAGCUAAACCUAGAUCAUCAUGACCAUGAAUGAAACAGAGAACAAGAGAGACCUUCCAUGGCAUUGUCCCUGCAUCUAUCAAGGUGGUGAGCCGCAGCUGUGUGGGGAUGGGAAGAAAAGUAGUUGGAUCCAAUGAAAUCCAAGAGAGGAGAGCUGACCUUUAAGAGAACAACUCUCAUGAUGUCGUGGAUAUAAUCCUGACAAUGUUAGGGGGGUAGGAAUGUACAGUCGGGCGUAUCAUCAAAUUUCAAGUGAAAGUCCGAGGCAUCUGGGAUCAUCAAAUUUCAAGUCACAGUCCCAGGAAUCUGGGCUUGAUCGGAUCAAGCAUUACCAGUCAAUAUCCUUCGGAAGAACACCUGUCGGAAGUCCUUCUGUGAGGAAUAUUCAGCUCCCCAAGGGAAUCUGAGUCGUGCCAUGGAGGAUAUCGCGAGUGCCCCUUGCUCUUUAAGCAGAACAGGUCCACAACGGUUUCCUUCAAGUGGCGGGCACUCGGAUAGCAGGGG